AUUGCUUCCUGGCCUUUUGGCUAAGAUCAAGUGUAGUAUUUAAUGUUUUUGUUAUAACUAGACAUUGCUGUUAUUGAUAGAAAUUAUCAUUCUGUUUAUUUUUAUGGAACAAGU
ensembl:snRNA U2 U2 spliceosomal RNA